GGCGCUAUGGUGUAGUGGCAGCACAUGGGAUUCUGAUGCUUCAUGGAUAGAGGUAAUUCCCAUAACCCAGGUUCGAACCCUGGUAGUGCCU